ACGCCCCGGCCCUUGGGUCCGGCUCGGAAGCAGCCCCGGAAACGACGGCAUUUGUUGGGGAAACAAGACCGGAAUUGACCAAGAACAGGAAGAGGAGGGGCCAGGCCUGCAAUUCCCAGAAUGCUCGAGGGCUAACCGACAGCCAGGCUGGCUUCCCGUGGUCUCAGCGCCACCUGCCGGAAGCCGCGAGAACAGCGGCCGCCUCAGGCAGGAAGUGCGUCAUCUCGCACGGAGGACGAAUGCCGUUCCCGGCACUUCCGGUCCUGACCGGAAGCGGUAACCGUCACUCCUUCUGGGCUCUGUCAGUGCACCGAGGCGGGGCUCCCCAGGAUCCCACGGUCCCGCUCAGGCCAGACGCAGAGGCAGUCCCAGCCCGCGAUGAGGACGUGGGGUCGUGACCGCUGGGCCACGGUGAAGGGGGCAGCCCUGCUGGACCCGCUAGCUGGGCCGACGCUUUCCCACCCCUAGGGGUUUGCUGGGCCCUGGCCGCAAACUUGUGGGGCGCCGUCCUCGGGGCCACUGCCCGGCCACCCUCACACCCUUGGGCCCUCAGCUCUGGUGCAUUGGUCCGGGCUCCGGGAGGCACUGAGACGUCCCCCUAGGGCGCUGCAGGGAAGCGAGGGCCAGGCCCUUCCAGGUCCCCGGUCCUCCCGGGCAGGAUGGAGGCUGCUGAACGCUCCUCAAGCUUCCAAGUCAGCCGUGGCUGGGCGGGCGGCAGCAGGGAAGGUUUGGGCUCCGCCAUGCUUGCGAGCCAGCAGCCUGGCCUCGCCUGUCCGCAGCAGGGGGCAGGUCAGCUGCCCGCCCUGAAAGGGAGGACCAGGGCCCAGAUUCUCCCUGCGACAAGCCGCGUCUUCCUUGGCCACUGGGCCCUAGAUGGUUGGCACCUUGUGCCCCUUCUCAGCUGGGAGAGUUCCUGCCCCACACACUCAAGGAUUCUGAGUUCUCCUUGGCUGCUAGACCUCUGGUCCCUCUGAAAGGCUCGAGAGAGAACUCCCCCAGGGCCUGCUGUCCUGGCAUCCGCUGGGAAAUAGGAUUCAAGGACCUGCUGUGGCUCAGCCUAGAAAAAAGGAGGGGAAGCAGGACCCACUCCUCGGCCCCCGGUCUGCUGUGCGCCUUUGGGAUUCCUUAUUUCUUAAACUGCUCUUCCCUCCCCACAGGGAACACAGCGGAAAGUAGAGAGGGGGCUCCUUGGACCAUUAUGUUCUCCCAACCAGUGCAGGCUUGCAAGUUGGGAGCAGCAGGGGAGGAGGGCCUGCUGAGAGACUCUGUAACCCCCUAAAAUGCAGGGCUGGGGACAGUUUCCAAAUUGGCCUGCAAAGAGGCUGCUGGGAGCCCUAGAUAUGAAUUCCCAGGCACUCAUUUCCUCCAGGGAACAGUGAAAUGUGCCAGCACCCCCCUCCCCACAACUAGGGAAAAGUAGCCUAACCCAGAGCAAGCCCCACCCCACGAUGUGGGGAAAGAUAGGAGAGUCUAGACCAAGCCCACUGGCUGGAGGUGCUCAGACAAAGGGAAAAGGACGGGGGAGUGCAGGGGCUCCUUAGCCCCACAGCCUGUCUGCCCCCAACCACCGCUCGCUGGUGGGCUGGGGGGGCUCCCUAGUAGGAUGAGGUCUUUCUUCCCCUCCAGACCCUCUGAGAUGUGGCUCAGGCCUGAGCCAUCAGCUCCUCAAAGGAACAUUUACAGGUAACAGAUGGGCAGGGCAGAGACCCUCAAAUGCUCGGGAGGGGGCAGUGUGUCCAUCCUUUACCAUCCCUCAGGAGGAAGAGGAGUCCUGCAGCGCACCCAGCCCCUACCCCAAGCCCAUCUCACUGCAUUCCCUGGCUGCCCGACCCCUCCUGCCCACCUGCUUACACUGUGUGCCCCUUGUGUGCCCAAGGGGCAGGGUGGAAGUGGCUGCAGGCAACACAGGGCCUCUCCCAAAAGAGAAUAGAGAGAACGCUCCCAAAAAGGGCCCUUGCUACCUGGAGUUGCUCCCUGGUUUAAACCCAAAGUAAAAUUCUAAGCAACCCCAACCAACUGAAUGGGCACCUCUUGGCCAAAUGCAUUCUAAAGUAAACCUGAAAAGCUCGUUGAGGCCAUGAUGACUGUGGGUGGCCGAACAUGCCUCAUAGGCACAGCUGACCAGCAUUCACAUUAAAACAGAGACCUUAGUCCGGUGUGGUGGCUCACACCUGUAAUCCCAAAACCUGGUGUGUCACGUGAGGUCAGGAGUUCGAGACUAGCCUGGCCACCGUGGCGAAACACCGUCUCUACUAAAAAUACAAAAUUAGCUGGGUGGGGUGGUGCAUGCCUGUUGUCCCAGCUACUCAGGAGGCUGAGGCAGGAGAAUCGCUUGAACCUGGGAGGUGGAGGGGAGGCUGCAGUGAGCUGAGAUCACGCCAUUGCACUCCAACCUGGGUGACAAGAGCAAAACUCUGUCUAAAAAUAAAAAGACCUUAAGACUCACAAAACAGACUCUGUAGUAAUAAGAUACCAACGUGACAGCAGGCCCUGAAAGAAACCGAAGUAUUUUACCCCAAAAUAUAUUUCUCUGAUGUAUUUUGAAAUGGCCCUGCAAAGCUGUCUCUUGGGAAAAUCUACAUUCUAUAGAGAAUCCCCCUCCCUUUCCAGGUCUAUUUCCUGAUCCAGGAGAGAAUUAACUAAGAUUCUGGUACCUUUUUAAGUCUGAUAAGAAACAUUUACAAUCUGGCGGCUUCAUCUGCAUAAUAAUCUUGGUCUCCACAACUCCUCUUAACCCAGAUAGUCCAUUCUAUUGAUUUCAGGUCUUUAGAUAAAAUCAACCAAUUAUUAAUCAGAACAUCUUUUAAUCCGCCUAUGACCUGAAAGUCCCUCCCCUUCAAAUCGUCCCACCUUUCCGACUAAACCAACGUACAUCUUAGAUGUAAUGAUCAAUGUCCUAUGUCCCUAAAAUGUAUACAAUUAAGUAGCCAGACCGCCUUGGGCACAAGUUCUCAGGACCUGGGGCUGUGUCACAGGCCUGGUAGCAUGCCUGAUGUUCCUUCUUUAUUAAAUGACGGAGUCAGGAUGUUGUGAUUACAGUUGAAGGCGACGUGUUAGAAAGGACAGGUGCAUGAAGGCA
rnacentral:lncRNA from 10 species